GCCUGGGUGGCUCAGUCGGUUGAGCGUCCGACUUCAGCCCGGGUCACGAUCUCACGGUCUGUGAGUUCGAGCCCCGCGUCGGGCU
rnacentral:tRNA from 1 species